GAUGAACGCUGGCGGCGUGCUUAACACAUGCAAGUCGAACGGUGAAGCAGAGCUUGCUCUGUGGAUCAGUGGCGAACGGGUGAGUAACACGUGAGCAACCUGCCCCUGACUCUGGGAUAAGCGCUGGAAACGGCGUCUAAUACUGGAUAUGAGCUGCGACCGCCUGGUCAGCGGUUGGAAAGAUUUUUCGGUCUGGGAUGGGCUCACGGCCUAUCAGCUUGUUGGUGAGGUAAUGGCUCACCAAGGCGUCGACGGGUAGCCGGCCUGAGAGGGUGACCGGCCACACUGGGACUGAGACACGGCCCAGACUCCUACGGGAGGCAGCAGUGGGGAAUAUUGCACAAUGGGCGAAAGCCUGAUGCAGCAACGCCGCGUGAGGGAUGACGGCCUUCGGGUUGUAAACCUCUUUUAGCAGGGAAGAAGCGAAAGUGACGGUACCUGCAGAAAAAGCGCCGGCUAACUACGUG
rnacentral:rRNA from 1 species